rnacentral:sRNA from 1 species
UCAACGCGGGCCCUGUGGUCCUCUUGGGUCACAUGCAUGGUGCCCACCCACAGGCUCAGCCUCCUGCUCUGCAAGUGACAGGGCAGCUUGGGGGAGUCUUGGGGAGACCAGAGAUGGAUAAGGUGCUCUAGCCUGUUCUGGAGAGGGCCCCAGGUGACCUGGCAGCUGCAUGGAGCCUCCCUAGGGACCUUCUGUGGCAGGUGUGCUGCCCAAUGUCACCUGCAGGCCUGCUCCCAGUGUGGCCUCUGCCAUAUGUUCUGAGCUUCGGGGAGCAAGAAGACUGCUUCUGUGUGAUGGCGGGCGCUGGGCCGGUGUCGCCUUGCCUUUCAGAAGGAUGUUGAGCCCGAACGUGUGGUAGCUGCUCCCCAAAGGCCGGGGACCGAGCCACAGCCAGAAAUGCCUGACACAGUCCUGCAGUCAGAGACCUUGAAGGACACUGCCCCCGUGCUGGAGGGCUUGAAG